rnacentral:rRNA from 1 species
CACGUAGGCGGACAUUUAAGUCAGGGGUGAAAUCCCGGGGCUCAACCCCGGAACUGCCUUUGAUACUGGAUGUCUGGAGGUCGAGAGAGGUGAGUGGAAUUCCGAGUGUAGAGGUGAAAUUCGUAGAUAUUCGGAGGAACACCAGUGGCGAAGGCGGCUCACUGGCUCGAUUCUGACGCUGAGGUGCGAAAGCGUGGGGAGCAAACA